GUGGCUGUAGCUCAACGGCGAGAGCAUCGCGCUGUGAACGCGAGGAUACGGGUUCGAUUCCCGUCGGUCGCC
rnacentral:tRNA from 2 species